rnacentral:lncRNA from 1 species
ACGAACUGGCCAAUCUCCCACGUGUAAGGCCUUUUCCUCCUCAGCUGAAAUAAAGACAAGGAUGAGUCAGCCUCUCCCAACCUCCAGGAUCUCCCAAUCCUCCCAGUGACUCAGAGGACGGUCUGUUUAGUGGGUAAAUGCUCCGCCCAGGAAGUUGGCAGCCCCAGCCUCCCCCUACCUGAGUCACUGGCCUUUGGUGCUGCUAUCAAGACAUAUUGCCACGAAGACCUGUGGAGGCAGGCCAAGAAAGAUCAGCGAUCAGUGGACCAGGAAAGAGGAUGGGAGUUGAAAGGCUAAGAUGCAGGAGACUAAAUUUGUUCCUCACUUGCUGGUGGCCUCGGACGGACCAACAAAGGGCUCAGUGUCCCUAUUUGAAAGGCCUGGAUGAUGCCAGCUCCCCAGCUGCAAGGGAGACUGGGAAAGACUGCUUCUGGCUUUGGAGUACAGGGUGCAGGAUUCGUGACACGGAAAGUUCCUCAAACACAGAAGAAUGCUCAAAAGGUGUUGGGCACCCCUGAAACAUGAUGAAGGUCCUCAACAAUGGCCGAUACUUUUCAUGAACUUUCUGUGUGCUUGGCACACAGCUCUGGGUCCAUUCACCUUCUAAUUGCAAACAGUGCUCUGACGUCACCCUUCCUCACUCUUCAUCACUGUGGUUUGGAUGGGAUCAUCUCCAGGGUCGGGCAUAGGAUUCAGGUCCAAACAAUGAUAUGUGACCCACUCAGAGCCAACUUGAUGCAACCUUGGCUUUUUCUGGGACAGCUGAAAGAAAUGAGGACUUGGGCUGUGAGGAUGGAGCCUAGAGUUGCUGGCAGCCAUCUUGCCGCUGCAAGGAACAGAGAAGAAAGAUGAGAAGAAGACUA